GUUCAUUUGUCACAUGCGCGGAAUACAACAGGUGAAGCAGACCUUAGUGAAAUGCUUACUUACAAUAGCUCUAACCAAUAGUACAAAAAAGGUAUUAGGUGAACAAUAGGAGGGCUACAGCUAGGAAGAAGAUGAUGAAGACAGGUGUGGGAGAGGUGCUGCCCUUCAUCAAGUGGAUUGUGUACAGGAAAAUCAGGUGACCCGGUACGACCAACAGGAGCAGCACCUGUGCAGAGCGAUGAUUGGCUCCUGUCAGAGAUAAACCAUACUACGUACAACGCCAACCAAGUCUCCAUUCAAGACAAGCAUCUCAUGUCUACAACUGUCAAUCAUUCCCUGCCAUGUAUCAUCUCCAAUACCGGAAUCUAGAAAGACUUUUAAACUGAACUGCGUCUCUGCCUCCAGCUGCUCAGUAGAUGGGCAGCACCGUAACCCUCACCUAAACAUCAGUGUUUCCCUUGGGGACCCUUAUUAUUGGAGGACAUGUAGGAAAUGUAUAAAAGCACCCCGUGGUCAUGUUCAGGUGAGAGCUUUUUACUGUGAAUAACCUUUGUGUGUACAGGUUGUAUGGUGUUGCUGGUCGUUUAUUUCUGCGAGGAACCAUUUUGUGACAAUGUUGUCUAGAAGAAAUGUUUGGGGUGUAGUCGAUUGUUCUGAAUGGUAUAUGUUGACUUUGACCAUCAGUGAGUUUUUCCCUGAGUGACAAUAUGUCUGAUUUUCAUUAUGUAAGGCCACUGCAAUCAUGGCCUUCUAUUUGAAGUCACCUUGUUUGGAGCGGCGUUGCUGGUUUGAGGUACAGGCUGUGCGUUGCUGGUUUGAGGUACAGGCUGUGCGUUGCUGGUUUGAGGUACAGGCUGUGCGUUGCUGGAUUGAGGUACAGGCUGUGCGUUGCUGGAUUGAGGUACAGGCUGUGCGUUGCUGGUUUGAGGUACAGGCUGUGCGUUGCUGGUUUGAGGUACAGGCUGUGCGUUGCUGGUUUGAGGUACAGGCUGUGCCCUCCAAAAAGGGCUCUGUCUAAGUAAAGUCAUUUCUAUUUCUACAAUAUCUAUUGUUUAUGUCAAUUCUGUGGUUAACUGUUCUUUCUUUUGUACCAUCAGAAGUACAGUAUUGUUUGUCACUAUUUUUGGUAAUCUUCUGAACUAGGUCAAUGACAUUUCUGUGAAAGCACUCUUGUAUUUCAGAAAGCUGUCUCGUGGAAGUAACAGAUCUAUGAAGUCAUUUUGGUGUACUCUUGUUAAUGUGUGUUAUUUAUCUGUGUCAAACAAGCAAACCUAAUCCUCAGCUUUUACUAAACUUUGCUUGUUCUUUAUCUGCCUUUGUAGUGUUUUCCUUUAAUGGGUCUAGAACCUGUGUCUAAUGUUUAGAUGUUACAAUUUCUCAGAACUUUUGCCCCAACUCAAUAGGUGGCCUGUCAUGAACCUGUGUGUCUUGUGUUCUGGUUUAGUUGUUCCCCUAAUUAAACAGUAACUGGGGUAGUCUUGAAGUCGUGCCAGUUUAGCUAACCCUAGUCGGCAGGUGUUACCACAAUAUGCUACAGUCAUGUCUGCAAAAACACUACAGUGAAUGCUAUAGUAUACUACACUCAUGUCUGCAAAAAAACACAACAGUGAAUACUAUAGUAUAUAAAUAUACUACUGUAUUUAGACCAUAGUAUACUAUAGUAUUUUUUAAUGUGGGUUAGCUGUAAAUGUGUAAUAUGUUGGAUGUUUGAACUAGGACCCCUUUUUUUGUAUUAUUCUCAUCAAAUUUCUAAAUGCAUUGUAUCCACAUUUGUGCUUAUAUUGUGUUUUUAAAUAGUCAAAUAAAAAAAUAAAUC